rnacentral:rRNA from 1 species
GAUGAACGCUGGCGGCGUGCCUAAUACAUGCAAGUCGAGCGAACGGACGAGAAGCUUGCUUCUCUGAUGUUAGCGGCGGACGGGUGAGUAACACGUGGAUAACCUACCUAUAAGACUGGGAUAACUUCGGGAAACCGGAGCUAAUACCGGAUAAUAUUUUGAACCGCAUGGUUCAAAAGUGAAAGACGGUCUUGCUGUCACUUAUAGAUGGAUCCGCGCUGCAUUAGCUAGUUGGUAAGGUAACGGCUUACCAAGGCAACGAUGCAUAGCCGACCUGAGAGAGUGAUCGGCCACACUGGAACUGAGACACGGUCCAGACUCCUACGGGAGGCAGCAGUAGGGAAUCUGCCGCAAUGGGCGAAAGCCUGACGGAGCAACGCCGCGUGAGUGAUGAAGGUCUUCGGAUCGUAAAACUCUGUUAUUAGGGAAGAACAUAUGUGUAAGUAACUGUGCACAUCUUGACGGUACCUAAUCAGAAAGCCACGGCUAACUACGUG